GUCCCGUUGGCGUAGUGGAUAACGCACUUGACUUCUAAUCAAGGGAUCAUGGGUUCGAAUCCCAUACGGGACG
rnacentral:tRNA from 1 species